CCUACGGGUGGCAGCAGUGGGGAAUAUUGGACAAUGGGGGAAACCCUGAUCCAGCGACGCCGCGUGAGUGAAGAAGUAUUUCGGUAUGUAAAGCUCUAUCAGCAGGGAAGAAAGAAAUGGCGGUACCUGAGUAAGAAGCCCCGGCUAACUACGUGCCAGCAGCCGCGGUAAGACGGAGGGGGCAAGCGUUAUCCGGAAUUACUGGGUGUAAGGGGGGCGUAGACGGCAAUGCAAGGCUGGCGUGAAAGGCGGGGGCUCAACCCCCGGACUGCUCUGGAAACUGGGUAACUGGAGUGCAGGAGAGGCAGGCGGAAUUCCUAGUGUAGCGGUGAAAUGCGUAGAUAUUAGGAGGAACACCAGUGGCGAAGGCGGCCUGCUGGACUGUAACUGACGCUGAGGCUCGAAAGCGUGGGGAGCAAACAGGAUUAGAUACCCCUGUAGUC
rnacentral:rRNA from 1 species